rnacentral:rRNA from 1 species
AAGCUGAGGAAAAGAAACCAACAGGGAUUGCUCUAGUAACGGCGAGUGAAGCAGCAAUAGCUCAAAUUUGAAAUCUGGCGUCUUCGACGUCCGAGUUGUAAUUUGUAGAGGAUGCUUCUGAGUAACCACCGACCUAAGUUCCUUGGAACAGGACGUCAUAGAGGGUGAGAAUCCCGUAUGCGGUCGGAAAGGUGCUCUAUACGUAGCUCCUUCGACGAGUCGAGUUGUUUGGGAAUGCAGCUCUAAAUGGGAGGUAAAUUUCUUCUAAAGCUAAAUAUUGGCCAGAGACCGAUAGCGCACAAGUAGAGUGAUCGAAAGAUGAAAAGCACUUUGGAAAGAGAGUUAAAAAGCACGUGAAAUUGUUAAAAGGGAAGGGAUUGCAACCAGACUUGCUCGCGGUGUUCCGCCGGUCUUCUGACCGGUCUACUCGCCGCGUUGCAGGCCAGCAUCGUCUGGUGCCGCUGGAUAAGACUUGAGGAAUGUAGCUCCUUCGGGAGUGUUAUAGCCUCUUGUGAUGCAGCGAGCGCCGGGCGAGGUCCGCGCUUCGGCUAGGAUGCUGGCGUAAUGGUCGUAAUCCGCCCGUCUU